AUAAAUUGACAAGCAGGAAUGGCACCCUGCGCUCCUAUAUGAAACCUGAUAUGAUGGAUACGCCGCCCAUCCAAUUUUA
rnacentral:ncRNA from 12 species